rnacentral:lncRNA from 1 species
CAAAUUUUCAAACAAAUUUUUCAUUUUAAAAAUAAAGUAUUUCCAUUCAAAACAAGGCAUAAAUAAUUUAAGUAUUAUGUCAAAUACAAAUAGUCUAAAUCCCAAGAUCAUAAAAACAUCCUUCAGUGUGUAUCGAUCACGCCGGCGCCUUCCCACGGUCCUCGCUAGUACCUGAAACACAUACAUAACAACUGUAAGCAUAAAUGCUUAGUGAGUUCCCCAAUAUACAACUUACGCACAUACGCCUUUCCAGGCCCUGACCUAUCGGUCCAUGUGUCUCAGGGGACUUCCGUCCCUGCUGGGUAAACCUUCCGGUCCUACCCACGCCGACCUUCCGGUCCAUCACACAACAUAUUGCCUUCCGGCCCAUAACAUAUUGCCUUCCGGCCCAUAACAUAAUCGCCUUCCGGCCCAUAACAUACAUAACAAACAGAUUACCACAUAUAGCAUACAUAUCACAUAUCAUAUCUGACCUUCCGGUCACACAGUCAAACCCUUCCGGGUACAGUAUAGUGAGAAGACUCACCUCGUGAAUGCUGAAAGCUAGCAAAUCCUGAAAUCACUCGUGCACAAUCCGACGAGCUACAACCUCCCUAUAACAUCACAUAUCUCUCAUUAACACUUAUAUCUUCUAAGUGUGACUAUCCCUAAGAAGUCAGACUUAGGUCAACUCUGGUCAACGGUCAACGGUCAACGGUCAACUCGACCGGACUCGGCGAGUGCCAUGGCGACUCGGCGAGUCUAGACGUCCUCCAACUCUCUGAGAUUCCCUAUCUACUCGUCGAGUAUCCUCCUUGACUCGACGAGUUACUCCUGGAAGAAUCGCGGGGCCACCCCGACUCAACUCGCCAAGUCUGAAGAACAACUCGACGAGUCCUAGUAAGUCUUCAAGCUACUCGCCGAGUUUGUUCAUCGAACUCGGCGAGUCCAUGCCAUGCAACCGCUCAAACUGCAUCCUAAGGUCAGAACUGCUUCGAUCAUUCCUAGGUCUGGCCUUCAUAGGCUGAUCCAUCAUGUAAAGUCCUCAUUUCAGUGCUCAUGAUACACCAUAUGAUUCAUAAUUUACAUUUUGACCUAAGGCAUAAGGAUUCCAAUCCAAAACCUUCAUCAAUUCCCGAAAUGCACAGACAUGGGACAUUCUGGACCUCCAAAGGUCCCAAUACAGGGUUACAAUCGAUUAGGGGACUAGGGUAACAUUCAAUCUAUUCACAAAAGGGUUCCAUAAACCCUAAUUCCAUAAUCACAUCAACAUAGCAGAGUAUACUCGAAUUCUUACCUGGAUGAUGUAUUCUCUGUGUCCCCAAUCCUCAGAAUGUGACUCCCUUGCUGUUCCUUUAGCCAAUCCCUUCUCUUCCUUGCACAACCACUCUUCUAUAAUCAACAAUGGCCUAUAAUCCUUGCUCCAGAUGCACACAAUCGAUUUAGGGUUCUUCUCAGAAGGCUAAAAUGAACAAUGACGGCCAAUAAGUCCCUUUUAUACGUCCCAAACCUGAACGGUUAGGGUUUUCGCUAAACAGCGUAGACUCGCCGAGUCCAUAUCUGGACUCGUCGAGUCCAGUCGCGAACCCGCGACCAAGUCUGCGAUCCUACUCGGCGAGUCUAGGCUCCAACUCGCCGAGUCCCCUCUUAAAUCACCCCAAAAACAUAAUUUAACAAUACCUGAGAUUCCGGGCUGUUACAACUCUCCCCCACUAGGAUUAGACUUCGCCCUCGAAGUCUCACUCUGAAAAUAGUUCCGGAUGCUGCUCCCGCAUCUCACGUUCCGGCUCCCAAGUCAUUUCCGAUCCCUUACGGUGUUGCCACUGAACCAACACCAGAGGUACCUCCUUGUUCCUCAGAACCUUGAUCUUCCGAUCCCUGAUGGCCACUGGUCUCUCAGCAUAAUUCAGGCUCGCAUCCACCUGAAUAUCCUCCAAUGGAACCACUGCCGACUCAUCGGCUAUGCACUUCCUCAAUUGCGACACAUGAAAAGUGUCGUGGAUCUGUCCCAACUCCGCUGGCAACUCCAACCGAUAGGCUACCCGGCCUAUCCUUGCAAUCACACGAAAUGGCCCAAUAUACCGGGGCCCCAACUUGCCCCUCUUCCUGAAUCGAAUCACUCCUUUCCAAGGAGAGACCUUCAGGAGAACGAAGUCGCCGACUUGAAACUCAAGCUCGGAUCGGCGCCUGUCUGCAUAACUCUUCUGUCGGCUCUGGGCGGUCAAUAACCUCUGUCUAACUUGCUGAAUCUGCUCUGUCGUCUGAAGCACGAUCUCUGUGCUGCCCAUCACUCUCUGUCCCACCUCUCCCCAGCAAAUGGGGGUCCGACACCUCCUACCAUACAACAGCUCAAAAGGUGGCAUACCAAUGCUCGAAUGAUGGCUGUUGUUGUAGGAAAACUCUGCUAAGGGUAAAUAUGCAUCCCAGCUACCCCCGAAGUCUAACACACACGCUCGAAGCAUGUCCUCCAGCGUCUGAAUCGUCCGCUCGCUCUGACCGUCUGUCUGGGGAUGGUAUGCGGUACUAAAAUGCAAUUUAGUACCCAGCUCCUCAUGAAAUUUCUUCCAGAACCUGGAAGUGAAACGCACAUCACGGUCUGAAACAAUCGAGAUCGGCACCCCAUGCCGAGAUACCACUUCUCUCACAUAUAUCUCCGCCAACUUCUCCGCUGAAGAACUCUCACUGAUGGCAAGGAAGUGUGCACUCUUCGUCAACCUAUCCACAAUCACCCAAAUUGCAUCAACUCCCCUGGCAGUCCUCGGCAAUUUGGUGAUGAAAUCCAUAGUGAUCUGUUCCCACUUCCACUCGGGGAUCUCCAAUGGCUGUAACUUGCCAUGCGGUCUCUGGUGCUCGGCCUUAACCCUACGGCAGGUCAAGCACCUCUCAACGAACCAUGCAACGUCCCUCUUCAUACAGGGCCACCAAUACUCUUUCCUCAAAUCCAAAUACAUCUUCGUAGCACCGGGAUGGAUCGAGAAUUUCGAUCUAUGAGCCUCUUCCAUCAAAGUAAUACGCGUACCGCCCACGAACGGUACCCAAAUCCGACCCUGAAACGUCAUAAGCCCUCGUCCAUCCUUAACGAACUCUGAAAUUAACCCCACAACCCGCUCUUUCUUCUGCAUCUCUGGUCGCACAGCCUCGGCCUGUGCCCCACGAAUAGCAUCCAAUACUGGAGUCAUCACAGUCAGUCUCAAGCAUACAUCUCGCAAUGGAGUGCUCUCCGCCCUGCGGCUCAAUGCAUCGGCUACCACAUUAGCCUUGCCUGGGUGGUACAGGAUCUCACAAUCAUAAUCCUUGACCACAUCCAACCACCUCCUCUGACGCAUAUUUAGGUUGGGCUGAUCCAUCAAAUACUUCAAGCUCUUAUGGUCCGUGUAUAUCGUACAUCGAACCCCAUACAGGUAGUGACGCCAAAUCUUGAGAGCGAACACUACUGCCCCCAACUCUAAAUCAUGCGUGGGAUAUCUCGCCUCAUGAGGCUUCAGCUGCCUCGACGCAUACGCUAUCACAUGACCCCUCUGCAUCAACACUGCACCCAGUCCCGAAAUCGAUGCGUCGCAAUAUACUACAAAAUCUUCCAUCCCUUCCGGGAGAGCUAAUACCGGGGCUUCGCACAACCUCUGGCGAAGUGUCUCAAAGGAGGUCUGCUGCUCGGGCCCCCAUGAGAAUGCAACACCCUUCCGGGUCAAUCUGGUGAGUGGCACUGCGAUCUUGGAGAAAUCCUUGAUGAAUCUCCGAUAAUACCCUGCCAACCCAAGGAAGCUCCUGAUCUCAGAAGGUGACUUCGGCACCUCCCAACUCAUCACCGCCUCAACCUUGGCCGGAUCGACCAAUAUCCCUUUCUGAUUAACAACAUGUCCUAGAAAUUGGACCUCCCGCAACCAGAAGUCACAUUUGGAGAACUUUGCAUAAAGCUUCUCCGACCUCAAUACCUCAAGGACCUCCCUCAAAUGCUCCUCAUGCUGCUCUCUAGAUCUCGAAUACACCAGAAUGUCGUCGAUAAAUACAAUCACUGACCGAUCCAACAUCGGCCUGCAUACCCUGUUCAUGAGAUCCAUGAACACAGCCGGGGCAUUGGUGAGCCCGAAAGGCAUCACCACAAACUCAUAAUGCCCAUAUCGCGUCCUAAACGCUGUCUUCUGGACGUCCUCAUCCCGCACUCUCACCUGAUGGUACCCUGACCUCAGAUCGAUCUUGGAAAACCAAGAUGCUCCCUGCAACUGAUCGAAUAAAUCAUCGAUCCUCGGUAACGGGUAACGGUUCUUGACCGUCAACUUGUUCAACUCCCGGUAAUCAAUGCACAUCCGGUGUGAACCAUCCUUCUUCUUGACGAACAGAAUAGGUGCUCCCCACGGCGAGCUGCUCGGCCGAAUGAAUCCCUUCCCCAGCAACUCCUGGAGCUGCGAGGACAACUCUUGCAUCUCUGGAGGUGCAAGACGAUAAGGCACCUUAGCAAUAGGCGCGGCCCCCGGAACCAGAUCGAUACCAAACUCUACUUGCCUCACAGGAGGUACUCCCGGCAGCUCCUCGGGGAAAACAUCUGGAAACUCACGCACCACAGGGACCUCCUCAACUGACUUCGGUCUCUCGGAAACCUCCCGCGUAUCCAUCACAUACGCCACAAAACCCUUACAACCCUGCUGUAGACACUGCCUCGCCCUAGCGGCCGACAAAAAGCUGAUCCCGAAUAGGUACCCUUGCCGUACACCGAAAGAACUCCCCCACUAUGGUCUCGUAUAGUCACCAACUGACGCUCACAGUCGAUGACAGCGCCGAAUCGGCUCAACCAGUCCAUGCCCACGAUGACACAGACAUCACCCAUCGCAAUAGGAAUCAGGUCAAUCGGGAAUUCAACCCCGAAAAUCUCUAGUACACAUCCCCGAAGAACCUCCGUGGCACAAAUCACUUUCUCGUCAGCUAUAGAAACUCUCAAAGGUCGACUCAACGACUCACGACUAACGCCGAUAUGCUGACUAAAGGCUAAGGACACAAAGGACCUACUCGCACCCGAGUCAAAUAACACUAAGGCAGGCACAGAGUUCACAAGGAAAGUACCUACGCGCAUAAUAACAUAAGCAUAACAUAUCGACAUUAAAAUAAUUACAUGAAUUACAACAUACCUGCCACAACAUCGGGCGCAGCGCGGACCUCUUCCGCAGUCAGCUGAAAGGCUCUUCCCCGAGCCCUCGGGGCCUCGGCCUUCACCGGUCGAGUCGCAGUAACUCCGGCAGCAGGUGCAGAUCCCUGAAGAAGCUGAGGGCACUCGGCCUUCCUAUGGCCAGUCUGGUUGCAAUGAAAGCAAACCGUAAAUCCCUUGGGACACUCCCUAGCAAUGUGCCCCUCCUUGCCACACUUGUAGCAAGCACCAGAUCGACAUACUCCAUCAUGACUCUUGCCGCACUUCCCGCAAGUGCGACCCUUCGAACCUCCUGUCCUCGAAUCAGCGGACUUGGUCCGCUUGGCUGCCGGCUGAGACUGAGCCGGCCGCCGGUCUGCCUGCUGAGACUCGGCCUCCUCCCUGGCCUGAGUCUCCAACUCGAUCUCACGCUUCCUGGCAUUCGCCUGAAGCUCCGUAAAAGUAUGAUAGGUGGAGUUCGACACAAACUCCCGGAUAUCCCUCCUCAAGACACCCAAGUACCGGCUCAUCCGAGCCUGCUCUGUGGACACCAGCUCGGGGCAAAACAUCGCCCUCUCAUGAAACUUCCGCGUGAUCGCCGCCACCGAAUCAGUACCCUGCUUGAGGGUUAAGAACUCCUGAACCAAUCGUUCCCGCUCCACCGGGGGAACGUACUCAUCCCUGAACAUGGCAGUAAACCCCUCCCAUGUCACUGCUGUAGUCUCUGCCAAAGUGAAGUUCGCCGUCACGAACUUCCACCAGUCCUUCGCUCCCAGACGGAGCUGGUUCAAAGCGAACCGUACCCUCAGGUGCUCCGGGCAUGAACAAGUGUAGAAGCACCCCUCUAUAUCCGCGAUCCACCUCAUCGCAGCAAUCGGAUCCUGCGUCCCAUCGAACUCUGGUGGCUUCGUGUUGCUGAACUCUCGGAACAGCAACGAGUCACCCCCCUGUGGCCUAGCAGCGGCCACAGCUGCGGUAGCUGCAGCGGUUGCAGCCUCAGUCAAUGCGGCGUACCGCUCAUCAAACGUCUCCAUCAGGGUGGUCUUAAUAGACCCAAACAUCUCCGGGAUCUCAGCCCGGAUCGCCGCAGCUACCUCCUCGUGAAUCAUCUGACGAAUCUCCUCGUCACUCACACCGCUCGAACUCGCUCCGUGGCGUGGUCUAACCAUGAUGUCUCUGAAAUACAACAUAAAACUAUCAGAGACUCCAUCGAGUAUAAUCGCACUCGAUAACGCAACCCUACUCAGUCUCCGAUAUCCAGGGAUUCUUACUUGGGUCUCCCACUGACCCGGUGUCUUCGGUAGUACGGGCCCAAUACUACCGACCACACCGCAUCAGCAUUCAUCCCAAAUCUUCCUCCCCAAACCCCGGAUAGUGAGUACUCUACUUCUGUUAUGCACUAUCUACCCGCACACUAGCAAAGCAUCUCAUAUCGGCAAACUUCCCUAGACUAAGGCAUCACAAAUCAGGCCACUCUAGUCCUAUCAUGAAUACCUAGUCUUCUAGCAUGCAUAACAAUUCAUAUCAUAUAAUAUUGUAAGGUAUUUUGGGGAUCUUUACCGUUCGGGCGCUGACUGAUCGUACACACUGCUUCUUUCUUGCUUACCACAAAACCAUUUACAAAAGUUUAUGCCUUUAUUUAAAAAGUUUUCCUCAAAUCCUCGGUUUGAGUUCAGUUACUCCCGAAGGUGCACCCGAAUCCCUCAAACCAAGGCUCUGAUACCAAUUGUAACAACGCAAAUUUUCAAACAAAUUUUUCAUUUUAAAAAUAAAGUAUUUCCAUUCAAAACAAGGCAUAAAUAAUUUAAGUGUCAUGUCAAAUACAAAUUGUCUAAAUCCCAAGAUCAUAAAAACAUCCUUCAGUGUGUAUCGAUCACGCCGGCGCCUUCCCACGGUCCUCGCUAGUACCUGAAACACAUACAUAACAACUGUAAGCAUAAAUGCUUAGUGAGUUCCCCAAUAUACAACUUACGCACAUACGCCUUUCCAGGCCCUGACCUUCCGGUCCAUGUGUCUCAGGGGACUUCCGUCCCUGCUGGGUAAACCUUCCGGUCCUACCCACGCCGACCUUCCGGUCCAUCACACAACAUAUUGCCUUCCGGCCCAUAACAUAUUGCCUUCCGGCCCAUAAUAUAAUCGCCUUCCGGCCCAUAACAUACAUAGCACAUAUAACAAAUAACUUACCACAUAUAGCAUACAUAUCACAUAUCAUAUCUGACCUUCCGGUCACACAGUCAAACCCUUCCGGGUACAGUAUAGUGAGAAGACUCACCUCGUGAAUGCUGAAAGCUAGCAAAUCCUGAAAUCACUCGUGCACAAUCCGACGAGCUACAACCUCCCUAUAACAUCACAUAUCUCUCAUUAACACUUAUAUCUUCUAAGUGUG